ensembl:lncRNA
AGACCACCUGGAACCAAGAGGAAGUGGCGUGGGAGGCCGUUUCCGCCUGGUACCUGGAGGGCGGAGACAGUGCCACCAAUUACCUGGCACACAGUGUAGAUGAAAGUUAUUUGACCUUUUCCACAUGGCGCAACUUCUCAGCGUUCCCCGAGCCUGCCUGGAGUCCGGGCUUCCGAGCUCCAGUACGUCUAGCAAACCUGAAGACUCCAUCCAGAGAGAACACUGGUGAACCUGCUCCUCAGUGGCACAGGACAUGACUGGGCUCCCCUGCUGGCUGGGAGGCUAACAAUGGUAGACCCAGUGCCCUUGGGCCAUUGCAAAAGCAGCUCUACCAUAAGCAAGAGCACUGGUUCUUGGGUGUGCUGACUGACAGUGCCUGCUCGUUCAAACACGUGACAGCUGGAUAGAGACGUGCUGAGUGAAGUUCCUGCCGACCUUGUUCCAAAUGGCGUAGGCUGUUACGUUGGAGAGGUUGGUGCUACCUUCCCCGAGAUGGGGUCUAACAGCCCGCUACGGUCUUCUCAACACUCUUCAACGAGAAGCACCAUUGCUACAUGUGUGAGGUAACAUCAGAGCCUCACAUUUCAGAAGCGCCUCUUUUCAUCCUGCUCUUUUCUGGAUUUCACAAUACAUUCAUUUAGGGAAUUUUAGGCAUCAGGGGAAUGGAUCCAAAACCUGAGUCACCAUUUUUGUUCUGGCUGCAAGCUGCUAAUAAUUCUCCAAUCAGUAGGGACAGGGGAAGCUUCAGUUAAUCAUCAGGCUCUUCAGAUCCCUGCUGGAAGAAAUCAGGCUCUUGCUAGGAUUCUAGGACACAGGGAGAUGUCACCCAUGGAGAGUCAUACCUGCAGCUGUCUCUGCAGCCAGCAGAAAAAAUAGUUCUGAGUGGACCAAAGAAAGGGAGAGAGAGAGCCUGGAGAGAAGAAGGAAGCAAAUGCGGGGUAAAUGGUCCUCAAGACAAAGGAAGUCCUAGGAGCCUUUUGCUGACUCUUGUUCCUGGCUUCCUGAGUCUACCCCUUGGCUUCCCAGGGAAACAGCUAUCCACAGCCUUGCAACAAUCUCCAGCUUUCCACUGUGGUCUCUUCACUGCUGUCUCGACAACCCCACAAGGGCUCCUUCCCCACACUCAGCACCUCUACCUCUCAAACUGUAGCUGUCUAACAUUGAAAAGGUGAUGCUGGCUGGGGAUUUCGCUCAAUGGUGCCACCUCCUGCCUCAUAAGCGCAAGGUCCCAAGUUCGAUCCUAGGUACCAAAAAAAAAAAAAGAACAGAAAAAGAGAAAAUGUGAUGCUGAAGGAUCAUUGUUGUAAAUUCUUCUAUUUUGAUGCUGUUUUGUAUCUAUUCUUACAUAGGUUGACUUUCUCAGGCUGGAAGCAAGACUCAGUUGGCAGUUUCCAGUUCUCACCUGGUCCUGGUUCUUCCACAUUACUGAUCCAGGUGUUUGCCUUCCACACUGCAUUGUGGUAGCCACUCGACCAGUAGGCACAACCUGCUGGACUCCUGCCACCACGUCAUGUGCUCACGGAUGGGGCAGGUGUUUGUAGUGGGCUCUCAGUCACAGCAUGACUCCAUAGCACUUGUGCCUGCUUGCUCUAAACCAAACAAUUAGACAGUUCACAGAGAUUAUUGUGUUUUCCUUACGCUGCUGCCCAUCAGCUUUUCAAAAAUUAUAUUUAGGAGGAUUUAAAAAGAGGGAGGAUUGUGAAGUGCUGUGUACAUGCACUAAGUCCCUGAGAGGAAUGUGAUCAUCAUGCAAUACAAACAUAUCUCUGUGUAUAUAUCUGUCUCCAGGAGAUGCAGAGAGGGAGAGGGAGGGGAGGGAAGUGGGUACAAAAAAAAAGAAUUAAGAAAUGUCAUGUACACAUACUAACUCCCCACUACAAACAUGAACGAAACUAGAUUAUGAACACAAUUUUUAAAACUGACACAUAUUCAAAGUCCACCUGAAAUUUUGCUAACUUUUUUUUU